rnacentral:rRNA from 1 species
AGUUUGAUCCUGGCUCAGAGCGAACGCUAGCGGCAGGCUUAACACAUGCAAGUCGAACGAAGUUCUUCGGAACUUAGUGGCGAACGGGUGAGUAACACGUAGGUAAUGUACCCUUUGGUGGAGGAUAACUCAGGGAAACCUGAGCUAAUACUGCAUAUGUCCUUCGGGAUAAAAGUCUUCGGACGCCUUAGGAGCAGCCUGCGGCCCAUUAUCUAAUCCUAGUUGGUAGGGUAACGGCCUACCAAGGGUACGAUGGGUAGCUGGUCUGAGAGGAUGAUCAGCCACACUGGGACUGAGACACGGCCCAGACUCCUACGGGAGGCAGCAGUGGGGAAUAUUGGACAAUGGGGGAAACCCUGAUCCAGCAAUGCCGCGUGAAUGAAGAAGGCCUUAGGGUUGUAAAAUUCUUUUGUUCGUGAAGAUAAUGACGGUAGCGGACGAAUAAGCCCUGGCUAACUCUGUG